rnacentral:rRNA from 1 species
GUAAACGGCGGCCGUAACUAUAACGGUCCUAAGGUAGCGAAAUUCCUUGUCGGGUAAGUUCCGACCUGCACGAAUGGCGUAAUGAUGGCCAGGCUGUCUCCACCCGAGACUCAGUGAAAUUGAACUCGCUGUGAAGAUGCAGUGUACCCGCGGCAAGACGGAAAGACCCCGUGAACCUUUACUAUAGCUUGACACUGAACAUUGAGCCUUGAUGUGUAGGAUAGGUGGGAGGCUUUGAAGUGUGGACGCCAGUCUGCAUGGAGCCGACCUUGAAAUACCACCCUUUAAUGUUUGAUGUUCUAACGUUGACCCGUGAUCCGGGUUGCGGACAGUGUCUGGUGGGUAGUUUGACUGGGGCGGUCUCCUCCUAAAGAGUAACGGAGGAGCACGAAGGUUGGCUAAUCCUGGUCGGACAUCAGGAGGUUAGUGCAAUGGCAUAAGCCAGCUUGACUGCGAGCGUGACGGCGCGAGCAGGUGCGAAAGCAGGUCAUAGUGAUCCGGUGGUUCUGAAUGGAAGGGCCAUCGCUCAACGGAUAAAAGGUACUCCGGGGAUAACAGGCUGAUACCGCCCAAGAGUUCAUAUCGACGGCGGUGUUUGGCACCUCGAUGUCGGCUCAUCACAUCCUGGGGCUGAAGUAGGUCCCAAGGGUAUGGCUGUUCGCCAUUUAAAGUGGUACGCGAGCUGGGUUUAGAACGUCGUGAGACAGUUCGGUCCCUAUCUGCCGUGGGCGCUGGAGAAUUGAGGGGGGCUGCUCCUAGUACGAGAGGACCGGAGUGGACGCAUCACUGGUGUUCGGGUUGUCAUGCCAAUGGCACUGCCCGGUAGCUAAAUGCGGAAGAGAUAAGUGCUGAAAGCAUCUAAGCACGAAACUUGCCCCGAGAUGAGUUCUCCCUGACUCCUUGAGAGUCCUGAAGGAACGUUGAAGACGACGACGUUGAUAGGCCGGGUGUGUAAGCGCAGCGAUGCGUUGAGCUAACCGGUACUAAUGAACCGUGAGGCUUAACCUU